GAUGAACGCUGGCGGCGUGCCUAAUACAUGCAAGUCGAGCGAACAGACGAGGAGCUUGCUCCUCUGACGUUAGCGGCGGACGGGUGAGUAACACGUGGAUAACCUACCUAUAAGCCUGGGAUAACUUCGGGAAACCGGAGCUAAUACCGGAUAACAUGUUGAACCGCAUGGUUCAACAGUGAACGCCGGUCUUGCUGUCACUUAUAGAUGGAUCCGCGCCGGAUUAGCUAGUUGGUAAGGUAACGGCUUACCAAGGCAACGAUGCGUAGCCGACCUGAGAGGGGGAUCGGCCACACUGGAACUGAGACACGGUCCAGACUCCUACGGGAGGCAGCAGUAGGGAAUCUUCCGCAAUGGGCGAAAGCCUGACGGAGCAACGCCGCGUGAGUGAAGAAGGUCUUCGGAUCGUAAAACUCUGUUAUUAGGGAAGAACAAAUGUGUAAGUAACUAUGCACGUCUUGACGGUACCUAAUCAGAAAGCCACGGCUAACUACGUG
rnacentral:rRNA from 1 species